rnacentral:lncRNA from 1 species
CUGGCCACCUCUAAGGAGGCAGAACAAUUCUAAUCUUAUAAAAUUUAAACCUUUUUCUUCUUUUUUUUCCCCCCCACUCUCUCUUUUCAUUGAUUCUGUAAAAACUGUAGAAAUCAAUCAUCUGACUCUUUUGACUGAGCUUCCAAUAUUUAGUUAAAAUAAUAGGUUAAUUGAAGGCCUAAUAAUUAAUUUUAUCUCUUUUCUUAGGAAAACUUAAUCCCCUGGGCUUACUAAAACAAAAUAAAAUAAAUUAGUAAUUGUUCUGCUGUAGUGAACUUUUUUUUUUUUUUUUUUUUGCAUCUUCUAACAUACUCCCUCUAGAGUAAAUUCAGGCAGUCUAACAUCACCACUGCAAAUCCUCAUUCUUUUUUACUUUCUCACCCAAACUUACAAAAAAAAUCAGUAUAACAGUAAAUUAUUUCUUUAGCAUCAGUGACUAAUGUUAACAUCAAUUCCAGCAUUUCUCUCCAUCAGAAAUUUUCCAGAUUGUAAUAUAUGCAUCUGGACUGCAGUCUAAUGGAUGCAAAAGUUGAGUCAGGAUGGCUUCCCUGGCAAUAAGAAACCAGGAGAGGAAGAAGAUGUGUCGGAUUCUUUACCUAAUGGUUUUCACAGUAAGAGGAGAUUGUUGGCACGAUGUCUACAUUUUUCCAUCAAUAUUUGCAGAUUUGAUACAAUGCAUGAUUUUCAGUUACUGAAAGUCAGAACAGUGCUGGUGUGAAGAUUACAUCCACUAGAGCCACUAAUCUAGUUCUGUAAAAUACCCUGGCAGUCUUUUCCUUUUUCUUCCUUUACUUAUUUUUUUUUUUUAAUUAAUACCUUCAAGAGAAAACAGUGAUAACUACAAAACCUGAGAAAACUGAAAAUUUGAAAUUUGAUUUAAACAAGUGAUUUAACCAUUACUAAAUGGGGAACCAUUAACUAUCAUUGAUGGUAUCAUAAACCUUCAAAUUCCAGAUUAUUUCCAUCAGAUAGUUAGAAAACCACCUAUCUUAACCACUUCACUGUGCUUUUUUAUUUAAUGAGUUCUCUCUCCUUCUCAGUGACACACAGAAAAGGCAACUAUAAUUGAUAUCCAUACUUUCAAUGUCUGAAAAGCUUGAUUUAUGGCUUCUUUUAUUGCAUCUAAGCGUAAUGAAUCUCAAAAACAUGACUUUAAUCACGGCUUUGGUUUUAGAUAUUCUGAAAAUGAAUUAUUUCUUAGGGGAAUUAAGAAUUAAGAGAAUGAAGUGUGUGGAGGCUGUUAUCAAAACAAAUAUCUUCUAAGCGGUAAAUAAAACAACACGUGUAUACCA